rnacentral:rRNA from 1 species
AUUGAACGCUGGCGGCAGGCCUAACACAUGCAAGUCGAACGAGUGGCGGACGGGUGCGUAAUGUCUGGGAAACUGCCUGAUGGAGGGGGAUAACUACUGGAAACGGUAGCUACUACCGCAUACCAUCGGAUGUGCCCAGAUUGGAUUAGCUAGUAGGUGGGGUAACGGCUCACCGAGGCGACGAGCCCUAGCUGGUCUGAGAGGAUGACCCGCAACACUGGAAAUGAGACACGGUCCAGACUCCUACGGGAGGCAGCAGUGGGGAAUAGUGCACAAUGGGCGAAAGCCUGAUGCAGCCAUGCCGCGUGUAUGAAGAAGGCCGUCGGGUUGUAAAGUACUUUCAGCGGGGAGGCGUUACCCGCAGAAGAAGCACCGGCUAACUCCGUGCCAGCAGCCGCGGUAAUUC